UACAGAGGGUGCGAGCGUUGUUCGGAAUUAUUGGGCGUAAAGGGUAGGUAGGUGGUCUCAUUUGUCUGAGGUGAAAGCCUUGAGCUUAACUCAAGAAGUGCCUCAGAAACGGUGGGACUCGAGUCCUGGAGAGGGUCGUGGAAUUCCCGGUGUAGCGGUGAAAUGCGUAGAGAUCGGGAGGAACACCAGAGGCGAAAGCGGCGACCUGGACAGGCACUGACACUAAACUACGAAAGCGUGGGGAGCAAACAGG
rnacentral:rRNA from 1 species